GAAAACCUGGGUCCUAGAAAGCAUUUUAUAAGGAGUUGGGCCUGGCCAGUGAUUUUUUUAACGGCCGCGGUACUCUGACCGUGCAAAGGUAGCAUAAUCAUUUGCCUUAUAAUUGAAGGCUAGUAUGAAAGGUUUGACAAGAAUAUGACUGUCUCUAUAUGACUAACUAGAAUUUUACUUUCAGGUGAAGAGGCUUGAAUUAAAUUAAAAGACAAGAAGACCCUAUCGAGCUUUUAAAAAAAUUAGAAGAUUAUUAAUUAAUAAGCUUAAAAAAUUAGCUUUUAAAAAUUUUAGUUGGGGCGACUAAGGAAUAGCAAAAGCUUCCUUAAAAAAAUUUUAAUGUACAGAUAUUGAUCCAUAAUAUUAUGAUUAAUGAAAUUAGUUACCGUAGGGAUAACAGCAUAAUCUUUUUUGAGAGCUCUUAUCGAAAAAAAGGUUUGUGACCUCGAUGUUGGACCAAAAUAUCCUAAAGAUGCAACAAUCUUUAAUGGUUGGUCUGUUCUACCAUUAAAAUUUUACCUGA
rnacentral:rRNA from 1 species